UACGAAGGGGGCUAGCGUUGCUCGGAAUCACUGGGCGUAAAGCGCACGUAGGCGGAUUGUUAAGUCAGGGGUGAAAUCCUGGAGCUCAACUCCAGAACUGCCUUUGAUACUGGCGAUCUCGAGUCCGGGAGAGGUGAGUGGAACUGCGAGUGUAGAGGUGAAAUUCGUAGAUAGUCGAAGAACACCAGUGGCGAAGGCGGCUCACUGGCCCGGUACUGACGCUGAGGUGCGAAAGCGUGGGAGCGAACGAG
rnacentral:rRNA from 1 species